AUAUUCCUCUGCACUCACGCUCCCUGGCCUUAGCUGCUGUCUGGGAAUCUUUGUAGAGUAGCUAGCUAGCUGCCUCUCUGGGGACCAUACACAAAGACUCACUCAACUCUACAUGGACCCCUACACAGAUGGGCUCUCAUCUCAGUCUCUCACCUGAAGGCGCGUCAAACAUCAAUGCCAAGAUCUUUGCCUUCUCUGCCUCUAGAACUGUAAGAAGUUUCUUCAACGUGCAAAUUGCCUGGUCUGUGGCUGUCAGUACAGCAGUAGAUGAGUCAGAAACUCCAUCUGUCCAUUUGACUCAGUGACCUUGUGCCUCAGAAUGAUCGAACCCAACUCUGGGAUCAGGGGUCUGCAAACUCUGUUCCCCAGACUUCAUUGUGGGGAGCUUCUGGCUGGAUUAUAUCAACUUGAAGGGUAAGAGGCAGAAGGUGCUCUCUGUCUCUUCCAGCUCUUCUCAGCUUCCUUCCCAUUGGACUCAGACAGGACUGAGACUUAACUCGGCAUUUCUCCACCUUUCUGUAACGUAACCCUUCUUCUUAGAUCCACUGGCAAGCAUGUGAUGUGCUCCACAGAGACUCUGAACCAUCUUACCAAGGACCUUAGUGAUCUGGACAUUAACUGUGAGAACCCCACUACUACCCCAAGUGUCUGACUUUAGGAAUAUCAGGUCUUCUCCUUCAGUCCUCCAGCUUCAGUAUCUUCUCAAGGCUACCUGAGCAGUUCUGUUACUGAUGGUGGAUUUGAAUCUGAUCUUGCCAGGUUCUUGGAACUGAAACCAAAGACCACACAGAUUUGCAAAGUGGCAAAGAGAUUAUGUAAAAUCACAGCAACAAAGAAGGCCUGAAUGUCCUGCAAGGCAACAGCAGGCCACAUGAGCGAAAACAGUCAAAAGCCCUGAUUAUUGUUUUGAGCCUUCAAGAAUUUUAUGGAGUUCAAGAGUAAGACAGUUGAGGCUACUAAGGAGUAGAGUGAGGGUGGCUCUCUGUUCUCCUAAAGUCACAUAAUUAUUUUCUACUGCACAUAUAAUUUCUCAUGAUUUUAAUCACAGGAACCUUCAACGAUGCAUAAGCAAGAGAUGGGAAACAGGGUUUUAUCCUUAAAGUUUAUUUGAGGACAGUUUUGCCUUAACUACCCAUGUGCCCCAAACCAGUUCAAGCCCAAUCAGCCUUUCAACCUGCACACAUUGGCAAUGUAACUGAAUAGAAACCAUCCACUCCAGGUACUUGUUAGCAGAGGAGAGAUUUAUCCCAUUGUUCUGAGAGAUGUGAGUCCACUGUGCUGUGGUAUAUGCACAUAGCACACGCAGGUAAAAAAAGACAGGCUGCUCAGCACAUUUCUUUCUUUUUAAAAAUAGGGUUGCUGCAUUUUAUUUGUUGACUUUUAAUUGGAUAUUUUAUUAAUUCACUUUUUAAGCUUUCCCAGUUUCCCCUCUGCAAACCCCCUAUCCCAUCUCCCUUUACCCUGCUCCUAUGAGUGUGCUCUCCCACACACCUACCCACUCCUGCCUCACAGCCCUAGCUUUCCCCUACACUGGGGCAUCAAGCCUUCACAGGACCAAGGGCCUUGUUUCCCAUUGAUGCCAGAUAAGGCCCCUUCAGCACAUUUCUUGAAGAUAGAACGUAUGCAUGGCCCACAACAAGUAGAGAUCCAGGUUGCUAAACGAUUCCCUGGGCUUGCCUAACCCUGUAUUUUGUACUCCUCUGGCCUUCCAAUAAAUGUUUAACUCAUUCUCUGUAUUAAAUCACCUCUCUUUC
rnacentral:lncRNA from 1 species